rnacentral:rRNA from 1 species
UACGUAGGGCGCAAGCGUUGUCCGGAAUUAUUGGGCGUAAAGAGCUCGUAGGCGGCUUGUCACGUCGGGUGUGAAAGCCCGGGGCUUAACCCCGGGUCUGCAUUCGAUACGGGCUAGCUAGAGUGUGGUAGGGGAGAUCGGAAUUCCUGGUGUAGCGGUGAAAUGCGCAGAUAUCUGGAGGAACACCGGUGGCGAAGGCGGCAUCCUGGACCGGCAUUGACGCUGAGGCGCGAAAGCUAGGGGAGCAAACGGG